AUGUAGUGUACAUUGUCUACCACAGUACGAGUCAUAAUACCCAUAAACCUAGCGGUCAAACGCGGAAAUGGUGCCAAUCGAUUUUCCACCAUUCAUUUCUUCCAUUGGGGAAUUUAGAGACACUUAAAAUAAGGGCUGUGUUUCGUGUAGGCUUAGCCUGGCGUGAUGUUUUGAUAACUGUGUAAAUGUCUCUCGGACAAGGUGACUUUAAUCAACAUAUUUGCUUGUAUUUACCCCCCAAAAAUGAAAUGCUAAUGUGGCUAUCAUAAAGAACAACAAAUGUCUGUCUCAAGCUUCCCGUCACUCCUCAGAGCCAUGAUGAUCUGGACGAGACUGCCGAAUCGAGGCAAAGAUGCAUUCAAGCAGCACUUUGAGAGAAAGCAUCCCACGUCUCCAACGGUCCCAGUACUGGUUGAUGUUCAGGCCUAAGGGACACCACACACUCAAAUGGGCCUACAACCAGGACACACCAUGAUGACCACGAUUUCAAUGAUGCAACUGAGACGGAAUGACGUGAGGGACCCUGAGUAUGACUGGACAUGGACCGGAUAUUUGUGACAUCGACCUGCAGAAACAUUUUAUGUUUAAACCAUAGCUAAUCAUCUCUCUAGGUACCCCUUAUUCCACACUGUCUUUUAUAGUCCCUCAACUUUGGACACUUUGGAACUCUCCAUCUUAGCUCUGUAAACCCUCCUUACCUUCACCCAUUUUCUAUAUGCUGCUUCCUUCACUUGUUCUUCUCCUGAUUGGAUAACAUCUACACUCAGGAACGCAUUUAAAAAUGUUGUGUUGUACUGUUCUUGCUACCUUUUUUUCACCUGUGUAAUGCAGUCCUUUUACAUUAAACCUACCUUACACAUCCA